AUUUGAAAGUACCAUUCAAAACCGGAUCCUUUUCACGUUAUACAUUUUCAUUGAAGUACAUGGACGAAUCAACAAAGAUUCCUGAGCCUUCUCAAGUGACAUCACAUUUAACUGCGUUACUUGGAUCAGAAAUUUCAGCUCCCAUUUUGUUACAGAUUGCAAUAUACUGGAUCGAGCAAAGUUACAGGGUCAUCUACAUUCGCCCCACUCCUCAUACGAAGCUGCCCCCAGAUAUCCAUGGAGUAUUUACCUAGCUGGAGUGACCUCCUGCAGUUUCUGUUUUGUGUCCAUGAAGCGGCAAGUGUACCACAUGUAGUACUGGUAGAAAAUCUACAUUUUUAUUGCGCUAUGGAGCCAGGUGUACCUGCUGAUGAGUCCCACGCAGCAUUGAUUUUAGCAUCCCUCAAAGACUCGGUCACAGCUUGCGCAAGGAAACUGAAAACUUUGACCCACUUGGUUUGUUCAUUUGAUCACGUAGCCCACAAAGACUUCAAACUUCACCCUGUCUUUGACAUUUUCUUCUCAGAUUCUAUUUGGACUGUUAAAGAGCAUCCUGAUAACAAGAUCACUUUGUCAAGGUCAAGAGAUAUCUUUGAUAAAGAUGAUACUGAUGAGAUCCUUUUUGUCAAGACUCAAGAUAAGAUUUUAUACUUUGAGGGAAUCAAAAGAUUUUUGCUCAUUGGACAUAUCACUCAUAAAAAAUUCGUCAAAUCUAAAUAAUUAUUUGAUGAAACUAAAAAGAUGUCUUGUUGAAGUUACUUUUUUGUGAACUUCAAUUUCAUUAAAUUAGGUAUGUACUUUUUUAUUUGAAUUACCUUUUCGUGUAAAAUUUAAAAACUUUACGAAAUGGAAAUAAACUCUUUAUUAAAACUUGUAGGUAAAUAUAAAUCAUGCCUGUCAAAUGCUGAAUAAAAACAAGUUAAAGUAAGUCAUCGGUGGCUCUUUUAAUGUUAACUCACUUACAUGGCCAAUAUCUGACGUAUUCAACUUAUGAUGUUUAGAAAAUAUUACCUAUCUCAAGACAGCUUAUUUCAUUUUAUUACUUUGUUUUGAUGUCAAAGCUCCAAAUCUGUGAUUUUUCAAGAGUUAAAGUUAAGUUUCCUGUAAAUACUUCUUGUUAAAUUUUCAAAAACUGGAUAUGUUUCUGAAACUUUUGUUCUUUAACUGCAUUUUGCUCUAAGCACAAUUUUCCUUGUUUUUUUAAAAAAAAAUUUUAAAACUUUAGAAGUAGAAGAUCAAAAGUUAUUUUCAUUAAUCCUUAAAAAUGUAUAAUACACCUCCAUUAUCUCAGCUCUUAGUUUUGAUUAUUUUUCCAGUAUUUUACUCGAAAAAAAAAAAAAAAUACAGUUGAAAAAACAAUUCAGCAUU
rnacentral:lncRNA from 1 species